rnacentral:lncRNA from 1 species
GUAAGCACUACGCAGUAUGUGCACUUAAUCUUAAUUGAUUAAGUAUCUCGAGUAAUCGUCAACAUCUGCUGCCUUUCUGCCAAAUUAAAUUAAACCUGGACGCAGCUUUCUAUAAAUGGAUUUAAACUACUUUGAAUAUGAAGAAACUGCCCCGAAUAAGAAGCUUUGAAUAAAUUCUUAUUAAAAUGCCUUAAUUGAU